CACGGCGCACGGGUGCGUAACACGUGGGCAACCUGCCCUCUGAUGGGGAAUAACCCCGCGAAAGCGGGGCUAAUACCGCAUAACAUUCCUUGGAUUAUGGUUUGAGGAAUCAAAGCAGUGAUGCGUCGGAGGAGGGGCCCGCGCCCGAUUAGGUAGUUGGUGAGGUAACGGCUCACCAAGCCAAUGAUCGGUAGCUGGUCUGAGAGGAUGAUCAGCCACACUGGAACUGAGACACGGUCCAGACUCCUACGGGAGGCAGCAGUGGGGAAUCUUGCACAAUGGGCGAAAGCCUGAUGCAGCGACGCCGCGUGGGGGAUGAAGCUUUUCGGAGUGUAAACCCCUUUCGACCGGGACGAAUGCCCGCAAGGGAGUGACGGUACCGGUAUAAGAAGCCCCGGCUAACUACGUGCCAGCAGCCGCGGUAAGACGUAGGGGGCCAGCGUUGUUCGGAAUUACUGGGUGUAAAGGGUUCGUAGGCGGUGUGGCAAGUCGGGAGUGAAAUCUCUGGGCUCAACUCAGAGGCUGCUUCCGAAACUGCUGUGCUUGAGUGUGAGAGAGGCUCGUGGAAUUGCAGGGUGUAGCGGUGAAAUGCGUAGAUAUCUGCAGGAACACCCGUGGCGAAAGCGGCGAGCUGGAUCACUACUGACGCUGAGGAACGAAAGCUAGGGGAGCAAACAGGAUUAGAUACCCUGGUAGUCCUAGCCCUAAACCAUCAGGACUUGGGGGUGGCUCGCGUAGGC
rnacentral:rRNA from 1 species